UAUUCUGCCCCACGGGGAAGGAUGAGAAGCUUCGACUAAGGUUCGACUCGAGCGAAGCGAGAGAACGUUGCCGCAGGCAACGGCCCGAAGGGCGAGGAGCGAUAGCGACGAGU
rnacentral:sRNA from 1 species